AAUUCACCAACAAGAGGGUCGUGUUAGAGGGAUAGAGAUAUCCCAAGUUAACAUAAGGCUAGUCCGUUAUCACUGCAGGAAUGCAGGGCACCGAGUCGGUGC
rnacentral:sRNA from 1 species